AUCCCAAGCAGGCUCCUUGCUCAGCGCAGAGCCCAAUGCCAGGCUCGAUCCCAUGACCCUUGAUCAUGGAAGCCUCUUGGGGGCUCAGUCGUGACUUGAGCCAAAAUCAGGAGUCAGAUGCUUAACUGACUGAGCCACUCAGGUAACCCAAAAGGGAGAUAGUAUACUUUCAAAUGACAUGGAUCGGUAUUUCAUGAUAUAGCCAAAACUUGGCUUUAUUUUCCUAAUUUCUCCCAUGCUUCAUCUAAAAUUUUAAGAAAGUGACUAGAAUUUGAAAUCCAAAUAGGAUCUGUACUUGGAUUUUCUGUCUAAGGGGCAUCUAUUUGGUAAAAAACCUUUACUAGAAUUGUUUGUUCUUUGUCUUCCUUAAACAUGCUUUUUUUUCCUCCCUAACCAAACCUAGACAAAGAACAAAUCCAUAUAUGAUUGUAGCAGGGAAUAUAGGCCUGAAGGAGUAGUUGAGAGUUAAAAAUCCUUAUUUUUAAGGAUUGUAUUUUUUGAAGAAAAUUAACUACAGGUUGAAACUAUCAGGAAUCAGGCAGGUGAUAGGAUUCCCCCCACGUGAAAAAAGUGUGGUUGAAUUAAAGAAUAUGUAAUUGCUGUUUAUUCCUACUAUUAUUUGAGUAAAACCUGAAAAUGUCAGUCACAUUGCUCUCUAGUGUGUUGAGAUAAACAGAAUCCCGACGUUGAAAUGAACUUCCUUUCAUUCAUUCAUUGAUUCAUUCAUUCAUACCAUCCGUGUUUAUUGGAUGCAUUGUGCGUGCCAGGCAGUGUACUGAGCCUCACUGAUACAAAGUACAUUUCUGAAUAAAACGGACAUGAGUGCUGCCCCCGUGGAUUUUACAGUUUGGCAAUGUUGGGGAAGGAAUUUGAGUUGGAGCAGGAAGCACAGACAGUACACAGAUAAUUAAUAUAUUAGAAUCAUGAUCAGCCCUACAAAAGAAAAUCAAACCUGGCUCCUCUGAGGGAAUGACAGUUAAAUAGAUGUCCAAAGAAUGAAUGAAUUAACCCAGCUGGGGUGAGGAGAGAAGUGAAUUAGUGGGGAGGAGGCUGCAGCCAGAAAGAAACCAGCAAAAAACAAUACGUAGAACGUCUAUACACAGAAUUCUAUACAUAGAAUACAUAGAAUGUCUGAGACAAGAAAGAACUCAGUGGAACUCAGUGGCUGCAGUGUAGAAGGCACAAGGGACAAUUGAAUGAAAUGCGUCUGGAAACCAAAAAGGGGCCAGAGGCUGAGGGGCCAUCUGAAGAUUUGAGAAUUUUCUUUUCUUAUGAACAGAAAGGCAUUACAUGUUAUAAGCAGAGAACUAUCAUGAUUAGAUUUGAAUCUUUAAAAGAUCCCUUUCCUUGUAGUGUGGAAAUUAGAUUAGCAGGAAUAGAGAAGAAUGAAAAAACUUUGGAGAGACCGGUUCAGGAGGCUGCGGCAGUAGCCAUGGUGGCUUUGAUUAGGCUUCUGGUCGUGGAGACAGAAGGAAGCAGAUCUAGUCAUGAGAUAUUUAAAGUAAGGUGAAUGGUAAGGUAGAAUGCUGGAGGAGUUGAUGAGGCAGACUUUGUAGGUGACCCCCUGGUUUCUGAAGUGAAAAAUCAGGUGGAUAAUAAGUAGUACAGUUGCCAGUAGAUGGUAUUUGGAAGAAGGUAUAUUUAAACAUGCUGUGUUUGGGGGCGCCUGGAUACUCAAGUACAGCUGUGCAGCGCAGCCACUGGCAUAAGUGAUGUUGGAGGCUGUGGAAGUGGAUGAGAUUACCCGAGAAGAGACACAGAAGUCAGCUUCAGACCAGGUCCCGUAGGACUCCAGGGCUGUUUGAAAGUUGAGUAAAAGGGGAGGAGCAGAAAAGGAGACCAGGAAGGAACAGCUGGGGCCAUGGGCAACUGAGGAGCGUAUGCUGUCCACAGGGGCCACAGGAGGACUGCUUCAGUGAGGAGGCAGCUAUCAGCUGUAUCUGUGAUGUUGAAGGGGGCUCAGCCACUGGGGACCAUUUUGGCUAAUGAAGGUCAUUGACAACCUCAGAAGGAGCUCUUUCCCUGGAAACGUAGAGGCAGAAAACAGUUUAGGAGGGAAUGAGGAGUGAACAAAAAAUGAGUAAUAGAGAAAAUGCCCAGAUAUUUUAUAAUAAAUUUAGCUAUGAGGUAGAAAAGAGAGAAUUAUAACCAGCAGGAGAUACAAAGUGCAGAAAGGGGGAUUGUUUUGUUUUAGGGUUUUUUGGGGUUUUUUUAAGAUAGAUGUUCUGCAGUAUGUUUAAUCUCUGGCAAAGAAGGAUAGUUUGAAGAUAUAAGAGAGAGAAGGGAUAAUCUGCAGUGUAAGUUUCUUGAAAAGACAGUGUUGACAUAAAGAGAAAGUGGAAAUCCCACUGAAAUCAAGUAACAGAGAGGUUGGGCUACUGAGCAAAUAAGCUGUAAGGGCACUUGUCAGAGGAUGGGAUAUUUUAGUCAUUUCAGAAAGGACAGGUAUUCAGUACUCCAGAUGUGGCUGCAGAAGUAGGUGACCCAAGUGAGGUGGAGGAGAAAAGGUGCUAGAAAUGAAGAGGUAACUUGAAUGUUGAAGGGGUUGUCCACGUGGACAGUGUACCCUAUCUAGAGCUGAGGUAUAGAGUUAACGAUUUUGAGAUAGGCCGCCGAAUCCUUUCGUGAAUGAGAGAUAGUGUUCAGUAAAUGAUGGCAGCAAAGGGUAGAAUUAGGGGAUAACUGGGCUUCAUGAGGCCCAAAAGAAUGGAAAUUUUUACAAAAAUGAGAGAGAAUGAUCUGAAACCUGCAUCAGGGACCAGAGGAUACCAGAGCUCGUAGUGUAAGGAAUAUUAGAGUGGAUGUCUCCAUCGAGAGGCCUGCUGAGAUAAUAAUGGUGUGCUCCAAGGACAGCUGUGUUCUAGUUAAAGCAAGGAAGUGGAGAGCAGCAUUUCUACAAAAGGUUAAAAGUGUAGAAGAGUUUGUUGGGCAUAAAGCCCUCAUUCCUGGGGAACCACCAGAGUUCGGGAGUAGAAAGAGAAAAGGCAGGGCGGGGAGUGGGAGGGAACUGCAGAGCAGUAGGGGAGUCACAGAAUGGGGCAGACUGAGUGAUGAGAGGAUCAUGACUUAAAGGGGUCAUGUAGCCCUGAUCCUUGUGAAUCCCCUGGAUAAAUGUGUAUUUUUAAGCCACAUGCCAAAGGGUUACUGAGUGAAGGAAGACUAAGGUGGUCUGUGGUGCAAUCUGCUGACCAGCCCUGAGGCAUUUGAUGGUUAGACCUGAUCUUCCUUCCCACCCAAAGAAGUGCUUUCUGGGGCACCUGGGUGGCUCAGUUAAGCGUCCAACUUCAGCUCAGGUCAUGAUCUCGCGGUUCAUGGGUUCGAGCCCCACGUCAGGCUCUGUGCCGACAGCUCGGAGCCUGGAGCCUGCCUCGAAUUCUGUGUCUCCCUCUCUCUCUGUUCCUCCCCUGCUCGCUCUCUCUCUCUCUCUCUCAAAAAUAAAGAUUUAAAAAAAAAAAUUUUUUUUUUUUUAAAGUGCUUUCUUCCCACGUUCCCUCUCUCCCUUUCUUCCCAAUCCUGCAGUUUCCUUCUCCUUCCCUUAAAAAAGUCUUUCUUAGCCCUUGUUUCUCUUCUAAUCCUUUCUUUGGCCUUAGACAUCCCAAGGCCACAGAUGGCGUUCGUGGCUAAGAAGGGCUGCUGACCCUUAUUAGAUAAAAGCGUUCAUCACAGUAUAAGGAAUGAGUGUGAGAAAGAAGUGCUGUGUCAGGCUUCCUGCCGUGAAGUUUAGGAAGUGAUUGCUCUAGCUACCAGUAAACAGCACGGCCUCUGUGAAACUGAGUCAUUGAGCCCAUCAAACCCAAACACCUGUUCGUUUUAUGGCACCUUUCCUAGAUACACAGGAGAGAGAUCAAGGCAGUUACGUUUGCUGUCCUGUUGGGACGGGAAUAUCGGUGUACAAAUGCUGUUUAUUAUGCUCUGACUUCUUCCUGUCUUACCUCGGUACUGAUGAACACACGAAUUAAUUGGAGCAUCUCAUAAAAAGUUGUCAGAUUACAGAAUUUACUAAAGUUAACUUUUCUUUUGUCACAGAUGCGUCAAUACUUGUAUUCCCUUUUUAUUAAGCACAGUGACUGAAUGAAUAUUGGACCUGAUAGGCUUGCAGGUUUUGCUUCUUGCCACAUUUACUUUUGCUUCUCACCGCCUUUUCUGUCACCAUUUCUGUCUGCCACUUCUGCCUUCUGCUGCCCGCCCCCUUUUCUGACUGUUGCCACAUUUCUGCCCUACUGUCUGCCACCUUCUCUUUGAAGCAUCUGCCUAUUGUUUUUUCAGACUCCCUGCAUCUGAAACUAUCCUACUGAAUAGUCACAUCAUCAGUUGUGAAGUUGAGGGAGUAUUCAUAUAUAAAAUAAAGAUGACUCUAUGUAAAUAA